UCUCAAUAGUAUAAAAGCUAACUCAAAUUUGUAUGGAACGUUUACCUACGUUUGCCGCUAAGGGCGCUGUUACAACUGCAUACAAAUUUGAGUUAACUUUUACGUUAUCGA
rnacentral:pre_miRNA from 9 species